rnacentral:rRNA from 1 species
UGGUCCCACCUGACCCCAUGCCGAACUCAGAAGUGAAACGCCGUAGCGCCGAUGGUAGUGUGGGGUCUCCCCAUGCGAGAGUAGGGAACUGCCAGGUA